rnacentral:pre_miRNA from 1 species
UCUGAAGUAAAAGUAUGUCCCAUACAAUAUUUGGGACAUACUUAUGCUAAAA